rnacentral:rRNA from 1 species
UGGCAGACGGGUGAGUAACACGUGGGAACUUGCCUUUUAGACUGGGACAACCACUGGAAACGGUGGCUAAUACCGGAUACGCCCUGAGGGGGAAAGGCAGAGAUGCGCUAAGAGAGAGGCCCGCGGCAGAUUAGGUAGUUGGUGGGGUAAAGGCCUACCAAGCCUGUGAUCUGUAGCUGGUUUGAGAGGAUGAUCAGCCACACUGGGACUGAGACACGGCCCAG